GACGAACGCUGGCGGCGUGCCUAAUACAUGCAAGUAGAACGCUGAAGAGAGGAGCUUGCUCUUCUUGGAUGAGUUGUGAACGGGUGAGUAACGCGUAGGUAACCUGCCUUGUAGCGGGGGAUAACUAUUGGAAACGAUAGCUAAUACCGCAUAACAAUGGAUGACACAUGUCAUUUAUUUGAAAGGGGCAAUUGCUCCACUACAAGAUGGACCUGCGUUGUAUUAGCUAGUAGGUGAGGUAAUGGCUCACCUAGGCGACGAUACAUAGCCGACCUGAGAGGGUGAUCGGCCACACUGGGACUGAGACACGGCCCAGACUCCUACGGGAGGCAGCAGUAGGGAAUCUUCGGCAAUAGGGGCAACCCUGACCGAGCAACGCCGCGUGAGUGAAGAAGGUUUUCGGAUCGUAAAGCUCUGUUGUAAGUCAAGAACGGGUGUGAGAGUGGAAAGUUCACACUGUGACGGUAGCUUACCAGAAAGGGACGGCUAACUACGUG
rnacentral:rRNA from 1 species